AUUGAACGCUGGCGGCAGGCCUAACACAUGCAAGUCGAGCGGAUGAAGUGAGCUUGCUCCUGGAUUCAGCGGCGGACGGGUGAGUAAUGCCUAGGAAUCUGCCUGGUAGUGGGGGAUAACGUCCGGAAACGGGCGCUAAUACCGCAUACGUCCUGAGGGAGAAAGUGGGGGAUCUUCGGACCUCACGCUAUCAGAUGAGCCUAGGUCGGAUUAGCUAGUUGGUGGGGUAAAGGCCUACCAAGGCGACGAUCCGUAACUGGUCUGAGAGGAUGAUCAGUCACACUGGAACUGAGACACGGUCCAGACUCCUACGGGAGGCAGCAGUGGGGAAUAUUGGACAAUGGGCGAAAGCCUGAUCCAGCCAUGCCGCGUGUGUGAAGAAGGUCUUCGGAUUGUAAAGCACUUUAAGUUGGGAGGAAGGGCAGUAAGUUAAUACCUUGCUGUUUUGACGUUACCAACAGAAUAAGCACCGGCUAACUUCGUG
rnacentral:rRNA from 1 species